UACGGGGGGGGUAAGCGUUGUUCGGAAUUACUGGGCGUAAAGGGCUCGUAGGCGGCCAACUAAGUCAGACGUGAAAUCCCUCAGCUUAACUGGGGAACUGCGUCUGAUACUGGAUGGCUUGGAUUCGGGAGAGGAAUGCGGAAUUCCAGGUGUAGCGGUGAAAUGCGUAGAUAUCUGGAGGAAUACCGGUGGCGAAGGCGGUUCUCUGGGCCUUACCUGACACUGAGGAGCGAAAGCGUGGGGAGCGAACAGG
rnacentral:rRNA from 1 species